GCCAUAUCCCCCGUGAGACCUUUCCAGAGUCUCCCUGCAGCUAACGCUUCUUAAAGAGACUCACAGUCCAUGAGGAAAAUGAGGGAGAUCUCAGUAGAUGAGCCAUACUCUUGCUGAUGACCCAACUCCUGUUUGAUCCUGUUGACAAGAGUUCAGAAGCUGUAAAGGAAACUUAUUCUCAACGCUGGUGUUGUAAAGAAAAGAAUACCAGGAGUUGAAGAGAUUAAAACAGGAGAGUUAACAGGUCAGAUUAUUUGCUUAAUUAUUUAUGGAUCAAUUAAUUUUAUAUCAUU
rnacentral:lncRNA from 1 species